rnacentral:rRNA from 1 species
AACGUAGGUCACAAGCGUUGUCCGGAAUUACUGGGUGUAAAGGGAGCGCAGGCAGGCGAUCAAGUUGGAAGUGAAAUCCAUGGGCUCAACCCAUGAACUGCUUUCAAAACUGGUCGUCUUGAGUAGUGCAGAGGUAGGCGGAAUUCCCGGUGUAGCGGUGGAAUGCGUAGAUAUCGGGAGGAACACCAGUGGCGAAGGCGGCCUACUGGGCACCAACUGACGCUGAGGCUCGAAAGUGUGGGUAGCAAACAGG